rnacentral:rRNA from 1 species
CGACCCCAGGUCAGGCAGGACUACCCGCUGAGUUUAAGCAUAUAAAUAAGUGGAGGAGAAGAAACUUACAAGGAUACCCCUAGUAACGGCGAGCGAACCGGGAGCAGCCCAGCUUGAGAAUCGGGCGGCCGUGCCGUCCGAAUUGUAGUCUGGAGAGGCGUCCUCAGCGACGGACCGGGCCCAAGUCCCCUGGAAAGGGGCGCCUAGGAGGGUGAGAGCCCGGUCCGGCCUGGACCCUGUCGCCCCACGAGGCGCCGUCAACGAGUCGGGUUGUUUGGGAAUGCAGCCCGAAUCGGGCGGUAGACUUCGUCCAAGGCUAAAUACAGGCGAGAGACCGAUAGCGAACAAGUACUGCGAGGGAAAGAUGAAAAGGACUUUGAAAAGAGAGUCAAAGAGUGCUUGAAAUUGCCGGGAGGGAAGAGGAUGGGGGCCGGCAAUGCGCCCUGGCCAUAUGCUGAACGGCUCUUGCUGGUCCGCCGCUCGGCUCGGGACAUGGACUGUUGUCGGCCGCGCCGGCGGCCAAAGCCCGGGGGCCUUAGGUGCCCCCGGUGGCCGUCGUCGGCACGGCCGGUACCCGCGCGCCGCAAGGCGUGCCCUUCGGGGCACCGCGCUGCAACGCCCUGCGGGCUACCCAUCCGACCCGUCUUGAAACACGGACCAAGGAGUUUGACAUGCGUGCGAGUCGACGGGUUAUGAAACCUGGGAUGCGCAAGGAAGCUGACGAGCGGGAGGCCCUCACGGGCUGCACCACUGGACGACCCUGAUCUUCUGUGAAGGGUUCGAGUUGGAGCACGCUUAUCGGGACCCGAAAGAUGGUGAACUAUGCUUGAGCGGGGCGAAGCCAGAGGAAAUUCUGGUGGAGGCUCGAAGCGAUAUUGACGUGCAAAUCGUUCGUCUGACUUGGGUAUAGGGGCGAAAGACUAAUCGAACCAUCUAGUAGCUGGUUCCCUCCGAAGUUUCUGAAACGACCGCCCCCGUGUAACAUCCCAAAAUUUCAAACUUUUACAUGUGCAUUGCAUCCAUGAGCAUCAUGCCACAAUUGCAUAUUUGAAUUCAAAUUUUGAAUCUCAAAAGGGCUCUAAAAGACUUUGUUUACACCCAUUUAAGCUUUGGAUUUUCAAACCAAUAGGGUUUAUGUAUAAAAGGGGUUUAAUGCAUAUAUAAGCUACCCAUAAUUUUUGGUUAAUUAUUUGGAGUUGAAAAAGUAUUUUAUUCAAAUAGAUAUAUAGCCCUAAAGGCAUUUAUAGGGCAAAUGUAUUUUUAUAUAUUUUAUUUUGAGGGGAAACUACUCCCAAAAGUUGUAUCAUGGUAGGACAUGAUUUUACAAAUUUACUGGUUUUAUUUGGACCAAUUUUGAGUUCAAACUCAAAAGAUACCAAAGAAAUAAGAAAAGCAGAAAAAGAAAAGGCAAAAAGAAAAAAAAAAGGGGUAAACCGGACCGGCCCAGUCCGACCGCGCCCGACCGCGACGCGCGCCGGCCCCGCCAGCCCGACCGCCCCACGCGCGCGCCCGCACCCGCUGACAGGUGGAGCCCACCUGUCAGGGGCUUCUUCCCCAUUUGGAAGGCGCCCGCGACGCGCGCCGUCACCACCGUGAUCUCCGCAUCCCGUGCCUCCCGCGCCUCCGUGCCUGCGUCCCUAUAAAACCAGCGCGCCCCUCUCUCUCUUCCCCCUCUUUCCCCUCUCUAUUGCGCCCCUAGGCUCGAGAAAUUUCUUGCCGAAGCUUUGCCCGCGCCGCCGCCGUUCUCCUCCGUCUCCGGUGAACCCUAAGGGUAAGCGCCGCCAUCUUCUUUUCCCUCUUCCUCUACUCCUCCGUGCGCUUCGGUUGACGCGCUCCGUCUUCGCCCCCGUGCACUGCAGCCUCCGGACGCCGCCCGCUCGUCCUCGCCGGAGUCCGGUGACCGCGUCGCCGUCUUCGCGCGUCCUAGGCGAGCCCUCCGCCCUCCCGAAGUCGCGCCGACCUCGUCACCGAGCGCGCCGUGCCGCGCCGCGCCUCCCCGUGACUUCCCCGAGCUGCCCGCGACGCCGGAGCACCCCGCGCCGCCACGCCCGUGCCCGCGCCGCCGUCUCCUCCAACUCCGGCCGCCCGCGCCGCCCGGUAAAACCCUAGAACUCCCCUCGUCCGUCCGAUCCGGAUCCGAGGGCUAAGAAUAGACCCUGUUUUAAUUUUUAACCGAACCGGUACGCACCAAUUAGAUGCUGACAUGUGGCACCUGGUUUUAUAAAAUAAAAAUGUAAUUUUAAUCCCCCGGAAUUAAUAAAAGGCACUUUUGCAGAUAGGCCCCUAUAACUUCAAAUGAUCAUUACUUUAAAUCUGUUUGGCCAAAUUUAAUGAUCCACACCUUUUUGGAAUCCUUAAGAAAUUUAGAAUCUUUUGGCACUCUCCAAUUUCAAAUUUGAAUAUUUGAAUCACAUUCAAAUUGCAGAUUAGGGUUUUAUGCCUUUUAAAUCAUAACUAAUUAUCUAGGAGUCCUUUUUGAAUGAAACCAGUGUCCAAAAUUUUGUUUUAUUGACCUCUGUCCAAUGGGACAGAGAAAUAAAUAUUUUGAACUAAUCUAUCUGGCUGAUGCCAAUGAAACCUCAUUUUAGGGUUUAAACCCUAGCCAUUUUAAUUUAUUUAAAAACCCUAAUUGCAUGUGCUUAGUUAUCAAUGCCUUGCAGGUGAAACUGAUGAAGAGUGAGGUUCGUCGAUUUUUCUUUGGGUCAUGUGCUUACAUUCCAACAUGCUCUCUCCUCUGGUAGUAGAUGAGGCCCUUUUUUUCCCUACCUUUCCGCUGCAGCUUCAUGAUACAUUGUUAUCAUGGUUUUGAACAUUAUUUGUUUAUGCUGGCCUAGGAGGUCAUGCAAGUUUGUAAGUACAAUUUAAGUUCUGGAUGAUACGAUGUAAUAAAGUACUUUUGACCUUUGUAUCUUGGUAUUACAUCUUGAACUGUGUGUGCUAGUGAGUCGAUCCAGGGACUAGCACAGGUAAGCACAGAGAUCGAACCCUUGGUGAAGGGGGAUCCCUUCACCCCGUACACGGGUUCGAUCUCUGUGCUUUAGUGCUAGUCCCUGGAUCGACUCACUAGCACACACAUUUCAAGAUGUAAUAUGAUAGAACAAAGGUCUCAAUAUUACAACGUAUCAUCCAGAAUUUAAAAGUGUUUACAACUCGCAUAACCUCACGGGUUAGCUGGAAAUAAAACAACUGUUUAGCAGCAGAAAACGAAAGAUACCAGGGCACAUCAACACCACGGUGAGAGCGUGUUGGAAUGUAGGCCCGUAACCCAAACAAGCAGAACGUACAUCUUACUCGUCGUCGGAGCUUCCUGCAUCAUUAAACGAUGCAGCCACUAGGGUCAAUACAUUGAAUGUAUUGGCAAGUUCACCAAGGGUUAUAACAGAACCUACCAAGUAUAUGCAGUAUUUGGCAAGGUGGAGUUCAGGCUGUUUGCGUGGAAGCAGAACAUAAAUUACCCUACUACAAAGGAAUGUUAUAAUAAUGUUAACUAUUGGACACGGGGUAGACACACCCAUGCUCUUAUUAACCUAGAGCACAUUGAAGUGGAUUCAUCAAGUGCUCCUACCCUGUUCAAACCAUUCAUUUUAUUUAAGAAAUUGGAAUGAGUGAGACUUUCCUUACAGCCCCCAAAUCUAGUUGCUCAUAAAUUGUCCGUAACCGGGGACACGGCUAAGUACUUAGUUUGACACUCUCGAGAGGUUGUACACUUUACCCACAAGAAAUUGACGUGUUAAUCCCUUGCUGUCCUCAGGGUAGAGUAGCAACGGUAUCGAUUACAGGAAUUUUCAGACCAUAAUCACCCAGACCACCUGAGGGACCUACGUUCCCACCUACACGGCUACAUAUGCACAAUCCCUCGGAUCCAGGAUCAUAUGUCUUACAUCCAUCCUGGCAGAGCCCAUAUUACCAUGUGGUUGUACUAGAAGCUACUUAACAGGAAAACUAGUCCAGUCUCUCUUACCCCAGGUGGCAUUCCACAUUUGCAACGUAGGCGCUCCCCGAAUCCACGGGAGAGACGUCCAUGGACGAUCCAUUCCUGAAUCCACAGGAACUCGACUCAGAGGGACCCAUAGAAAUGGACCUGACGCCGCUAAUUCUCAAAAUCCUCAAAGCAGCCCACCCAGGAUGGUUCAUUGAAUUAGUUGUUUUGCCUUACAUCUAACAAAAACAUUUCAUAUAGCCAAAGGCACAACAAUAUCAUAAUGUAGUUAUUUCCCCCACGAUACUACCAUAGCCUAGCAUUCAACUAAAAACGAUGGCAGUUUGGUGGCAAGGUAAUGGCGAGGGUAAACUAUACUACUUGGAAUUUAUAGCUAGCAUAGAGGUACGAAUAAUAGUCCUAUCAAUGAAUCUGUACCAACAACACUAAUGCAUCUCUACCAACAUAGAGGUUCGGCCGGUUUUCUUCGGUUUUUCUUUUUCUUUUUUUCUAUUUUCUGUUUUUGAACCUCAAAAUUGAUUCGGAGCUCCAAAUCACUCCAAAUAAAAUGCAACAAAAUUUGUAAAAUCAUAUUUUCAUAUGAUCUAACUUUUGGAACAAAAAUUUCCUCAAAAUAAAAUAUUUAAAAAUACAUUUGCCUUUAAAAUGGCUUUUAGGGCCCUUAGGCUAUCAAAAUAAAUUAUUUUUCAAAAUAGUUUGAAAAGCCAACUUAUGGGAUAGCUUUAUAUAUGCAUUAAAUCCCUUUUUAAAUCAAUACCCUCAUGGGUCGAAAAUGCAAACACUCAAAAGCAAGAUCCAAGCCCAAAAUCAAAUAAAAGCAUUUUUGAAAAGGGGUUUUCUGGGCAAAUUUUAGGGUUUUCAAAUGUGGUUAAAUGCAAGGGUGACAUGAUGCUCAUGAUAUGCAAUGCAUAUGAAGGGUUUUGAAAAGUUGGGAUGUUAUAGAGCUAACCCCCUUAAGACUCGUCCUCGAGAUUCCUGUUGGUUAGCAAAAAGGUGUGGGUGGUCUUCUUGAAGAUCAUCCUCGCGUUCCCACGUAGCUUCUUCUUCGGUGUGGUGAUUC